CAUUCAAAGCCUCAGAUUCCUCAGGACAGAUUUCCAGGCAGCUGUCACCAAGGGAUUGAAAUUGGCCUGCAAAAUGAUACCUAUUUGCUCUCCCAGCUCUAAGGAGACUUACUGACAGCUGGCAAAUAUCAAGAAAUUCACCUGUCUUGAUCUCAAUAUAAGAGACGUGGUUUCACCAUGUUGCCCAGGCUGGUCUCGAACUCUCCUGAAGGCAAGCAAUCCACCCUCCUCGGCCUCCCAAAGUGCUGGGAUUACAGGCAUGAGCCACCACACCUGGCCAAGAUUUAGCUUUCAUGUCUACAUGGAAACUUCCUUCGGCUACUGUGCUGGGUACUGAAUGCUGCCCUCCAAUAGGACGGAGACUGAAUGCUGCCCACCAACAGGACAGCAUCUCCAUGGAUGGGACUGUGGUAGGAGAAACUGGCAUUGAUCAAACAAUUAAAUGAAAAAAAUAGAAAAUUGCAUGUGACAAAGGCCACAAAAGAGAA